GGGUUGUGAGGUUAAGCGACUAAGCGUACACGGUGGAUGCCCUGGCAGUCAGAGGCGAUGAAGGGCGUGCUAAUCUGCGAUAAGCGCCGGUAAGGUGAUAUGAACCGUUAUAACCGGCGAUACCCGAAUGGGGAAACCCAGUGUGACUCGUCACACUAUCAUUAACUGAAUCCAUAGGUUAAUGAGGCGAACCGGGGGAACUGAAACAUCUAAGUACCCCGAGGAAAAGAAAUCAACCGAGAUUCCCCCAGUAGCGGCGAGCGAACGGGGAGGAGCCCAGAGCCUGAAUCAGCAUGUGUGUUAGUGGAAGCGUCUGGAAAGGCGCGCGAUACAGGGUGACAGCCCCGUACACAAAAGCGCAUGUGCUGUGAGCUCGAUGAGUAGGGCGGGACACGUGGUAUCCUGUCUGAAUAUGGGGGGACCAUCCUCCAAGGCUAAAUACUCCUGACUGACCGAUAGUGAACCAGUACCGUGAGGGAAAGGCGAAAAGAACCCCGGCGAGGGGAGUGAAAAAGAACCUGAAACCGUGUACGUACAAGCAGUGGGAGCACAGGUUUACCUGUGUGACUGCGUACCUUUUGUAUAAUGGGUCAGCGACUUAUAUUCUGUAGCAAGGUUAACCGAAUAGGGGAGCCGGAGGGAAACCGAGUCUUAAUUGGGCGUUAAGUUGCAGGGUAUAGACCCGAAACCCGGUGAUCUAGCCAUGGGCAGGUUGAAGGUUGGGUAACACUAACUGGAGGACCGAACCGACUAAUGUUGAAAAAUUAGCGGAUGACCUGUGGCUGGGGGUGAAAGGCCAAUCAAACCGGGAGAUAGCUGGUUCUCCCCGAAAGCUAUUUAGGUAGCGCCUCGUGAAUUCAUCUCCGGGGGUAGAGCACUGUUUCGGCUAGGGGGCCAUCCCGGCUUACCAACCCGAUGCAAACUGCGAAUACCGGAGAAUGUUAUCACGGGAGACACACGGCGGGUGCUAACGUCCGUCGUGAAGAGGGAAACAACCCAGACCGCCAGCUAAGGUCCCAAAGUCAUGGUUAAGUGGGAAACGAUGUGGGAAGGCCCAGACAGCCAGGAUGUUGGCUUAGAAGCAGCCAUCAUUUAAAGAAAGCGUAAUAGCUCACUGGUCGAGUCGGCCUGCGCGGAAGAUGUAACGGGGCUAAACCAUGCACCGAAGCUGCGGCAGCGACACUGUGUGUUGUU
rnacentral:rRNA from 1 species